UAGGGAAUAUUAGUUAAUGUGCGAAAGCGCGAACUAGCAACGCCGCGUGCACGAUGAAGGCCUUCGGGUCGUAAAGUGCUUUUUGAGGGGAUGAGAAAGGACAGUACCCUCAGAAUAAGUCUCGGCUAACUACGUGCCAGCAGCCGCGGUAAAACGUAGGAGGCGAGCGUUAUCCGGAUUUACUGGGUGUAAAGCGCGUGCAGGCGGUUUGGUAAGUUGGAUGUGAAAGCUCCUGGCUUAACUGGGAGAGGUCGUUCAAUACUACCAGACUUGAGGGCGGUAGAGGGAGGUGGAAUUCCGUGUGUAGUGGUGAAAUGCGUAGAUAUACGGAGGAACACCAGUGGCGAAAGCGGCCUCCUAGACCGAUCCUGACGCUCAGACGCGAAAGCUAGGGUAGCAAACGGG
rnacentral:rRNA from 1 species